rnacentral:rRNA from 1 species
UACGGAGGGUGCAAGCGUUAUCCGGAUUUACUGGGUUUAAAGGGUGCGCAGGCGGAUAUGUAAGUCAGUGGUGAAAUCUCUAGGCUUAACCUGGAAAUUGCCGUUGAUACUAUAUAUCUUGAAUGUUGUGGAGGUAAGCAGAAUAUGUCAUGUAGCGGUGAAAUGCUUAGAUAUGACAUAGAAUACCUAUUGCGAAGGCAGCUUACUACGCAGAUAUUGACGCUCAUGCACGAAAGCGUGGGGAGCGAACAGG